rnacentral:rRNA from 1 species
CAGCAGCCGCGGUAAUACGAAGGGGGCUAGCGUUGUUCGGAAUCACUGGGCGUAAAGGGUGCGUAGGCGGGAUCUUAAGUCAGGGGUGAAAUCCCGAGGCUCAACCUCGGAACUGCCUUUGAUACUGGGGUCCUUGAGUCCGGAAGAGGUGAGUGGAACUGCGAGUGUAGAGGUGAAAUUCGUAGAUAUUCGCAAGAACACCGGUGGCGAAGGCGGCUCACUGGUCCGGAACUGACGCUGAGGCACGACAGCGUGGGGAGCAAACAGGAUAAGAUACCCGCGUAGUCCCUGUCUCUUAUAA